UACAGAGACUGCAAGCGUUAUUCGGAUUCACUGGGCGUAAAGGGUGCGCAGGUGGCCAAGUGUGUUAGGCGUGAAAGCCCGGGGCUUAACCCCGGAAUUGCACCUAAAACUACUUGGCUUGAGCAUUGGAGAGGGGAGCAGGAAUCCAUGUGUAGCAGUGAAAUGCGUAGAUAUCAUGAGGAAUACCAGAGGCGAAGGCGGCUCCCUGGACAAUUGCUGACACUCAGGCACGAAAGCGUGGGGAGCAAAAGGG
rnacentral:rRNA from 1 species